rnacentral:rRNA from 1 species
GAUGAACGCUGGCGGCGUGCCUAAUACAUGCAAGUCGAGCGAACAGACGAGGAGCUUGCUCCUCUGACGUUAGCGGCGGACGGGUGAGUAACACGUGGAUAACCUACCUAUAAGACUGGGAUAACUUCGGGAAACCGGAGCUAAUACCGGAUAAUAUAUUGAACCGCAUGGUUCAAUAGUGAAAGACGGUUUUGCUGUCACUUAUAGAUGGAUCCGCGCCGCAUUAGCUAGUUGGUAAGGUAACGGCUUACCAAGGCAACGAUGCGUAGCCGACCUGAGAGGGUGAUCGGCCACACUGGAACUGAGACACGGUCCAGACUCCUACGGGAGGUAGCAGUAGGGAAUCUUCCGCAAUGGGCGAAAGCCUGACGGAGCAACGCCGCGUGAGUGAUGAAGGUCUUCGGAUCGUAAAACUCUGUUAUUAGGGAAGAACAAAUGUGUAAGUAACUAUGCACGUCUUGACGGUCCCUAAUCAGAAAGCCACGGCUAACUACGUG